rnacentral:pre_miRNA from 1 species
AUGCCCAUCACCAGGGGAUCGUGUUGAACAGCAGAUUCUGGUUCAACCAGGGCAGGUGGGCCUGAGAGUCUGCAUUCCUCACACACUCCCAGGGGUUCCCCC